rnacentral:rRNA from 1 species
AGAGCCCAAACCAAGAAGCUUGCUUCUUGGGGUUGUAGGACACUCUAUACGGAGUUACAAAAGAAAGUUAUAAAUGAAGCGGUCUGGAAAGGCCCGCCAAAGACGGUAACAGCCCGGUAGUUGAAAUGGCUUUCCCUCCAGAGUGGAUCCUGAGUACGGCGGAACACGUGAAAUUCCGUCGGAAUCCGGGAGGACCAUCUCCCAAGGCUAAAUACUCCCUAGUGACCGAUAGUGAACCAGUACCGUGAGGGAAAGGUG